rnacentral:misc_RNA from 1 species
GAAAUGCGAUAAGUAAUGUGAAUUGCAGAAUUCCGUGAAUCAUCGAAUCUUUGAACGCACAUUGCGCUCGCCAGUAUUCUGGCGAGCAUGCCUGUUCGAGCGUCAUUUCAACCAUCAAGCUCUGCUUGCGUUGGGGAUCCGCGGCUGCCCGCGGUCCCUCAAAAACAGUGGCGGGCUCGCUAGUCACACCGAGCGUAGUAACUCUACAUCGCUAUGGUCGUGCGGCGGGUUCUUGCCGUAAAACCCCCAAUUUCUAAGGUUGACCUCGGAUCAGGUAGGAAUACCCGCUGAACUUAAGC